UAGGGAAUCUUCCGCAAUGGGCGAAAGCCUGACGGAGCAACGCCGCGUGAGUGAUGAAGGUCUUCGGAUCGUAAAACUCUGUUAUUAGGGAAGAACAAAUGUGUAAGUAACUAUGCACGUCUUGACGGUACCUAAUCAGAAAGCCACGGCUAACUACGUGCCAGCAGCCGCGGUAAUACGUAGGUGGCAAGCGUUAUCCGGAAUUAUUGGGCGUAAAGCGCGCGUAGGCGGUUUUUUAAGUCUGAUGUGAAAGCCCACGGCUCAACCGUGGAGGGUCAUUGGAAACUGGAAAACUUGAGUGCAGAAGAGGAAAGUGGAAUUCCAUGGGUAGCGGUGAAAUGCGCAGAGAUAUGGAGGAACACCAGUGGCGAAGGCGACUUUCUGGUCUGUAACUGACGCUAAUGUGCGAAAGCGUGGGGAUCAAACAGG
rnacentral:rRNA from 1 species